UGGGGAAUAUUGCACAAUGGGGGAAACCCUGAUGCAGCGACGCCGCGUGAAGGAAGAAGUAUCUCGGUAUGUAAACUUCUAUCAGCAGGGAAGAAAAUGACGGUACCUGACUAAGAAGCCCCGGCUAACUACGUGCCAGCAGCCGCGGUAAUACGUAGGGGGCAAGCGUUAUCCGGAUUUACUGGGUGUAAAGGGAGCGUAGACGGAAGAGCAAGUCUGAUGUGAAAGGCUGGGGCUUAACCCCAGGACUGCAUUGGAAACUGUUGUUCUAGAGUGCCGGAGAGGUAAGCGGAAUUCCUAGUGUAGCGGUGAAAUGCGUAGAUAUUAGGAGGAACACCAGUGGCGAAGGCGGCUUACUGGACGGUAACUGACGUUGAGGCUCGAAAGCGUGGGGAGCAAACA
rnacentral:rRNA from 1 species